rnacentral:rRNA from 1 species
AACGUAGGAGGCAAGCGUUAUCCGGAUUUACUGGGCGUAAAGCGUGUGCAGGCGGUUUCAUAAGUUUUGGGUGAAAGCUUCAGGCUAAACCUGAAGAGGCCGUGCAAGACUGUGAAACUAGAAUCCAUCAGAGGCAAGCAGAAUUCCAGGUGUAGUGGUGAAAUGCGUAGAGAUCUGGAGGAAUACCAGAGGCGAAGGCAGCUUACUGGGCUGUAACUGACGCUGAGGCACGAAAGUGUGGGGAUCAAACAGG